AAUUUCUUCACAAUAACUGGAGAAACUAGGUGAUCUGGUGCCUUAUAUAAACUCACCUUAGCGUCAACUAACUUAAUUAAACCAUAACCAACACUCUUCCUAGCUCC
rnacentral:sRNA from 1 species